UGAAAUUGGCAAUGCCAGUUUGUUGGGGCUGGGUAGUGCUGGUCUUUUCCCUUCAAAAGUUUGACCCCCGUUUUGUUAUUUUUUUAUUGGAAUCUGAAUAUGGUUGGGGCGGAGUCAUGAAAUCUUGGAUGGAAUAAAGGCUGAUACUAGAGCUCUUGAUGCUUAAGAUUUGCUCUAUGGAUUGGCUGUUUAUACAAUUAUGCUCGAGCGUGCACCCUAAUUGUUCGGUUUGGUUUUCAAGAAAACCGAACCGAACCAUUGACACCCGUGACAGGGCAUUCUAUGGGAGGGGCUGUGGCAUCCUUUUGCAGACUUGAUCUUGUGGUCAAUCAUGGAGCAUGGAAUGUUCAGGUUUUAACAUUUGGACAACCUCGUAUUGGCAAUGCAGUGUUUUUGUCCUGCUACAGUGACCGUGUGCCAAUAACAUUACUAAUUACUACUGGACUUCUUGUUGUGCCUCAUUUGCCGCUGUACUAUUCUCGGUUCCCACAGGAGACAUACCAUCACUUCCCUAGAUAGGUAUGGCUGUAUAAUAUAGGAUUUUGGCAGUCUGGUUUAUCAGUUUGAGAAAGAUUGGGAUACAUCUGGAGAAUCUCCAUCAUGCAGCAAAUUGGCAAAUGGAACAACAUUCUAGACCAUUUAGUCUUACUAUAGUGUGGAAUUAAUGGCUGAGACAUGGGGAUCAUGUAAAAUCGUUGUGGAUGCACUAUUGACAGAAUAUAGAGGUGAAGAUGUUAAAGGAAAUCUUAUGCUUUCUAGGAAUCCUUCUUCUUCUGCAUUGAGGCUGCAGACUUUGAUGUCAAGAGCAACUUAAGCUGAAAUGGUCCUGGGUCAGCACCUGGUUUGUCAUAGAUCAUCAGGGACCUCUGUGAUGAAGUUUGGUCAGGAAAUACUUUCCAUCGAUCAUAUCCAUCAGAAGAUGCAUAGGAGCUCUACUCAAAUUCACUCUGAAUGUAAAUAGCAUAAAGUUGAAUUCCUUGUAAAUACAACUCCAGGAUUUCAAUUGAAUGAAUGUGUUCGC